UUGUAAUCCGCAACUUUCCAUCUAUUAAAAUUUAAAUAUCAGAUUGCCAUCAUAGUCACCUUGAAUAAAAUUUAAAUCAUUUGCACAAAGUUGAUGCGGAUUGGUGUAUAUGACGAUGAGAUCAUCGCGGUGGUGGGAAUGACCGGAGUUGGUGACUGUGGCGACGAUGACAGGAGAUUGGUAAAAGGAAAUUGAAAUUCUUCUUUUGCUGCAUCACAUCUGAAGCAUUUCAUUCUGCUGGCAUAGUUAUGUAGCUUCACAGUUCAUGACAUCAGUACCGCCGACAAACGUCUUCUCUGCUGAUCCUUGGGGUGUAUUGUGAUUCUAAUUUUGCUCGAGACUCUAUAAAGAAUUGUGUUAGUAAUUUUUCUCUCCUGCACUGCAGAUUUUAACUUCUAUUAUUUAUUUAUUUUGUCACAUGCAGAUUUUAAGUUUUAAGUUGUAUUAAUGUUGGUAAAUUUGAUCUGGGUUAUGGAGUUUUAGUAGUUUGUCCAAACUACCAGUAUGUGAUUUGAGGCAUCAUUUCAUAAUUCCUUUAUAGACACAACUGGUUAUUUAUGUGUUUUUGCAACCUUGUUAAUAUAUCUGGUUGCAGGCUGCAGCUGCCCCUGGAAUUUGGAAAUCCACUUUACAGGUUGUAGUUUCAACUCUCAAUAGCAUUGUUUUAACAUGUUUUAUUGUGCUUUCUUUUUGAUCAAUAAUACUUAAACUUAUUCUACAAGUUUCUAUAUGUUGAUUUAUAUCUUUGUUAUAAGUUGGUAUCUUAUUUGCUUUUCUUUGAAUAAACUUAAUUUCGUCUUCCUUCUACUUUAAGACUUUUUCCGAGAGUUCUCGUACACAUCUUUUUAGUUAUUAUAUUAUUUGUUUUGAAUAAGAUUAAAAGAUUAGAAAUUAUUUGGUAGGAAAAUCUCAAGCAAAUAAGAGGACGUGACAGAAAAUCUGGUAGCUUAAUAGAGACAAGAAGAGUCUGAAAAAGUUGGAAAAGACUGCACCCGGAAAUAAAUCAUGUAGAAAAUCAUUAUUGUAAUACGAUAACCAAAACCUGGAUCUCUAUAUAAGGGACCUCAUUGUAAAAUCAUCAGUUUUGUGAUCUUAUUGUUUUAACAUCUACCUCUAUCAAUGACUAUCCAGAAACCCGCACCCCUUGGCAUACUCUCGAAAAUUGAAUCUUGCAUGAGAAAUGCCAAACAAACCCUUCAUUACGUAAAACUAGUCUGUUCACGGUGGUUUACUCGUGCUUAUAGGCACUUGAAGUUCAGGGAAAGCACUUUUUUGCAUAUGCUAGAUGGCCUUUCAAAACCUAUCAGCUAGCGAGAUCUUCUUGAAUGUCAUGAUACAUCUGAUUCUGGAAAUUUUCACCAGUACAAGCUUCAGCUCAACUGGCUCUCCUUAGAAGAUGCUGUCAAAGAGAAGUUCACUGUACUUGAGAACGUGCAAUGGUUCCAAGUUCUUCAAGGCAAGGGAGGGAGGGCACUGCUUGAUCUGGAACUUGUGGGGCUUUGAAGACUUGUAAAAGACAAAGCAAAAUUGCUCUACUUGGGGCAAAGGAAAACGCCACCCCGUUUUCCUAUAUGCUUGAUCAGGGUGAUUAGAAAAUUAAUUCUAUAUUUUUA